AAGAAUUUAAAGGUCGAACAGACCCCAUAUUUAAACUGCUGCAUUUAAAUUGUAUCUUAAUCCAACAUCGAGGUCGCAAUCCUAUUCGUUGAUAAGAACUCUAAGAAUAGAUUACGCUGUUAUCCCCGAGGUAACUUAUAUUUUUAAUCGGGUGCCGGAUCAGCUAACCUUUAAUUUUAGUUUUAUAAUGAAGUGUUAAUUUACUUCAUGUCACCCCAACCUAAUAAUGUACUACACCCAAGUAAUUAAAAUCCUACACUACUUAUGCUAGAUAUUAUAAAGAUCUACGGGGUCUUCUCGUCCUGCGAAUUUAGGUAAGCUUUUUGACUUACAGAUUAAAUUAAAAGUUACUAAAGGGAUAGGCUUCUCUACGUCACGCCAUUCAUACUAGCCUCCAAUUAAGAGACAAAUGAUUAUGCUACCUUUGCACAGUCAAAAUACUGCGGCCAUUGAAAAUCAUUGGGCAGGCAGUACCUA
rnacentral:rRNA from 1 species